rnacentral:lncRNA from 1 species
UCUUGAGAGAAUGGACCGAGGCCUGCGCCCUGCUUCUCUCAGGAGGUGUGGCUAAUGUCAGGUCAAUUCACUUCCUGGGCCUGCGUUUCUGGAUGAAUCCUGACUGAAAUUAGCUUCCAUGGGUAAUCGACUGAGGUCUUCCUUUAUGCCAGAUACACGCCCUCAAAGGACCUCACAUACUCUGUUCUCUUCCCCGAUCUGUUCCCAAUACCACCCUCAAGCCCUGCUCUGCCUGCUUCGUUUCUCCUAAUCCUUUAAGGUUUCAUUCAGGUAUCAUCCUGCCAUUAAUGGUUUCAUACACUUUUUACUUCUUCACAGAACCUGUCUUAAUUAUAAUUCCUCUGAGAUUUAGUAUCUAUUUCUCCCACUAGACUGUCCCUCUCUGAUUCGCUGCAGUUCUAUCCAGAUCCUUUUAAACGGUAAGUGCCGGAUAUAUAUUUGUUGAGUGAAUAAGUGAAUAAAGUAGUAAAUUGGAGCAGAUAACUUCCAAGGUUUCUUUCAGCUCUGGCAUAUCUGCUGUCAGGAUUGUCACUGGUUGGUAUGAAAUUUGAAGCCUGUGAUAGAACAGUGCUUCUCUACCUGAGAUCUCUAAGAGCAUCUGUGUUAUUAUUUACAUCAACAAGGAAUUGAAAUUAACAUACUUUUUUACUCGCCCCAACUCAGAGGUGGCUGUAAAUAAACAUAUGACUUUUAACACAGGUCAUUAAACUUAAACAAAGACAGUCUCAACUAAAACAUGCUCAUUUGUGUACCUUGUAGAAUCAUCUUCCUAACCCCAGGUGGAGCGUGUCUCAGACACUGGGAAACACUGCAUUUUAAUGAAUUUCCACUGCCUCAUUCUGGUCCAACUUAGAAAAAUAGUUGGAAAUUCGAACAUGAUCAUUUUGACCUACCCACAGAGACCAGUUUAGAAAAAGCCAAGCCGCGAUGUUUAGGUUUCAAGCUGGUUUCAGAGCUCCUGUCAUUGUUUCCAGAGACGGAGGUACGAAAGCACACUCACCCAGUCAGUCAUUCCACUGGGCUGAUGACUGUGGCUCCCCACGAGGGAUGCUAGAAGGUGGUACAGCCCUGGUCCUGCCCCGGUCGACCUUCAGGGAGCACAGUCUCUGUCCAGGUAGCUGUGGUCUACACGGCUUCCGGAGAGGGAAGCUAUGGGAGUCACUGUUAGGGAGGUUCUGGAGAGGUCAGAUGUGAACACAGUGCCGGGAACAAAAAGUGAAAGCUCUGUCAGGCUGAGUAGAAGGAGCGGCAGAAACUCUAAAAAGUACUUGCAGAACUGUGCUAUGAGUUACUACCCAUCCUAAGAAGUCAGGAGAAUCGUAUCCUUUGCUAGGCCUGAGAGUUGUUCACUAAAAUGAAAACCAAUCAAUCUGUAAAUAUUCAUCAAAUGCUUAGUGUCU